GAUACUGUUGUAUAAUCACUUUUGCUUUACUUCAAUACAGAGAGCCUUGGGUAAAAAAAGGCAGAGUACCAGUCAGUGGUUAAAGACACACAAAAUGUGGACAUCAAAACAAAUGGCUACAUUUGCUCGUGAGGAAGAUGAUAACGAAGAGGAUGAGACUCCUUCAAACCAUAAGAUAGUGGAUGAUUCACACUCAACUGCAAAGCAAUGAAAGAACACAUCUGUCACUAAAUUGAACCCAGUCACCUUGGAUUAUGCCCAAAAGUGUGAGAAUUACAAGAAACUCACCAGAACUGUGAUGGACUCCAUUUCCACCUUAGAAAAAAUGACAACAUGCUCCGUCACAGGGAAAAAGGGACCACUGGUGAACAAAGACAGAGUCCUGACAGAGAAAGUGAAGCUAGUAAU